UAUCUCUUUCUCUCUCCCUCGUUCCUCCUAGUUCUCUUUCUCGUUCCUCCUAGUUGUAUCUCUUUCUCUCUCCCUCGUUCCUCCUAGUUGUAUCUCUUUCUCUCUCCCUCGUUCCUCCUAGUUUUGUCUCUUUCUCUCUCCCUCGUUCCUCCUAGUUGUCUCUUUCUCUCUCCCUCGUUCCUCCUAGUUGUCUCUCUUUCUCUCUCCCUCGUUCCUCCUAGUUGUCUCUUUCUCUCUCCCUCGUUCCUCCUAGUUGUAUCUCUUUCUCUCCCUCCUAGUUGUAUCUCUUUCUCUCUCCCUCGUUCCUCCUAGUUGUAUCUUUCUCUCUCCCUCGUUCCUCCUAGUUUUGUCUCUCUCUCUCCCUCGUUCCUCCUAGUUGUAUCUCUUUCUCUCUCCCUCGUUCCUCCUAGUUGUAUCUUUCUCUCUCCCUCGUUCCUCCUAGUUGUAUCUCUUUCUCUCUCCCUCGUUCCUCCUAGUUGUCUCUCUUUCUCUCUCCCUCGUUCCUCCUAGUUGUCUCUCUUUCUCUCUCCCUCGUUCCUCCUAGUUGUCUCUC
rnacentral:lncRNA from 1 species